rnacentral:rRNA from 1 species
AUGCUCCAAGAAAUUGGCAACCUCAAAAGAUUCAAGACAAUAGUUGAUCAAGUAAAGAACCUCACCAUCUUCAUCUAUGCACAUCACAAGACUUUGGCAUUGAUGAGGGUUGCUACAAAAAGGAGAGAUGUCAUAAGGCCGAGGGUGACAAGAUUUGCUUCCGCUUUUCUUACUUUGCAAAGUUUGUUGGAGAAGAAAGAUGCUUUAAGGUGUAUGGUGGUUGAAAGAGCUUGGGAAGAGAUGAGUCAUGUGAAAACAAAGAAAGGCAAGGAUGCAACGACAAUGGUGAUGGAUGCUAUAUUUUGGAAAGGUGUCCUCCUAUGCAUAAAGGAAACAAAAGCUCCUGGAGAAGAAAAACAGGAUGUGCUCAUCAACACCAAUGCUACUGAAACUCAAGGAUUUCUAUUUGAAGGAGGGAGUAAUCAUGCAAAUGUUGUUUAUCUUGAUGAGGAAGAUGAGGGUGUCCAUCCAGGUACGGGUAUAUCAUGGGAUCUUCUUGUUGAAGCAAUGGGAGCACAAGAGGAACUCCAACUUCGUAGGAGUGCAAGAGUGAGAGACCUUGAGGAGUAG